rnacentral:rRNA from 1 species
GAUAAAAGGUACCCCGGGGAUAACAGGCUGAUCUUCCCCAAGAGUCCAUAUCGACGGGAUGGUUUGGCACCUCGAUGUCGGCUCGUCGCAUCCUGGGGCUGGAGUCGGUCCCAAGGGUUGGGCUGUUCGCCCAUUAAAGCGGUACGCGAGCUGGGUUUAGAACGUCGUGAGACAGUUCGGUCCCUAUCCGCUGUGCGCGUAGGAGUCUUGAGAAGGGCUGUCCCUAGUACGAGAGGACCGGGACGGACGAACCUCUGGUGUGCCAGUUGUUCUGCCAAGGGCAUGGCUGGUUGGCUACGUUCGGGAGGGAUAACCGCUGAAAGCAUCUAAGCGGGAAGCCUGCUUCGAGAUGAGGGCUCCCACCCACUUGAUGGGGUAAGGCUCCCAGUAGACGACUGGGUUGAUAGGCCGGAUAUGGAAGCACGGUAACGUGUGGAGUUGACCGGUACUAAUAGGCCGAGGGCUUGUCCUCAGUUG